rnacentral:misc_RNA from 1 species
ACUUCUCCUGAACAAUUCAUCUUUGUAUUUGUUUUUCCAUUUCCAUAAAAGGAAUCUGACAUUGUUUGGUUGAAAGUUGGACUUGACAUUUUUUUGAGUGGGCAAGAAGAAAGUGGAAGAACAGGUAAAUUCUGACAAUUGCAAAUUUCAAUCAUAUUGCCAUCUGGGUCAUGAAAAAAGAGUUGAUCCACUGUAACUCCACCUUCUUUAACAGUAGCAG